GCCGGGCCUGGUGGCACACGCCUGUAAUCCCAGCGGCUCUGGAGGCUGAGACAGGAGGAUCCUGAGUUCAAAGCCAGCCUCAGGAAUUUAGUGAGGUGCUAAGCAACUCAGUGAGAACCUGUCUCUA
rnacentral:sRNA from 1 species